AUUGAACGCUGGCGGCAGGCCUAACACAUGCAAGUCGAGCGGAUGAAGGGAGCUUGCUCCUGGAUUCAGCGGCGGACGGGUGUGUAAUGCCUAGGAAUCUGCCUGGUAGUGGGGGAUAACGUCCGGAAACGGGCGCUAAUACCGCAUACGUCCUGAGGGAGAAAGUGGGGGAUCUUCGGACCUCACGCUAUCAGAUGAGCCUAGGUCGGAUUAGCUAGUUGGUGGGGUAAAGGCCUACCAAGGCGACGAUCCGUAACUGGUCUGAGAGGAUGAUCAGUCACACUGGAACUGAGACACGGUCCAGACUCCUACGGGAGGCAGCAGUGGGGAAUAUUGGACAAUGGGCGAAAGCCUGAUCUAGCCAUGCCGCGUGUGUGAAGAAGGUCUUCGGAUUGUAAAGCACUUUAAGUUGGGAGGAAGGGCAGUAAGUUAAUACCUUGCUGUUUUGACGUUACCAACAGAAUAAGCACCGGCUAACUUCGUG
rnacentral:rRNA from 1 species